rnacentral:rRNA from 1 species
ACGCUCGACACCUACCGGAGGCAGCAGUGGGGAAUAUUGCACAAUGGGGGAAACCCUGAUGCAGCGACGCCGCGUGGAGGAAGAAGGUCUUCGGAUUGUAAACUCCUGUUGUUGGGGAAAAAGAGGAUGGUACCCAACAAGGAAGUGACGGCUAACUACGUACCAGCAGCCGCGGUAAUCUGAGCGGGCUGGCAAGGC